UACAGAGGUCUCAAGCGUUGUUCGGAAUUACUGGGCGUAAAGGGUGCGCAGGCCGCGCGGGCAGUCAAAUGUGUAAUUCAGGGGCUCAACCCCUGCACUGCGCUUGAUACUUCCGCGCUCGAACCUUGGAGAGGAGUCUGGAAUUCCUGGUGUAGCGGUGAAAUGCGCAGAUAUCAGGAGGAACACCGGUGGCGAAGGCGGGUCUCUGGGCCGAUACUGACGCUGAGGAGCGAAAGCGUGGGGAGCGAACAGG
rnacentral:rRNA from 1 species